rnacentral:lncRNA from 1 species
AUUUAUCUUUUUGUCACAUAUUUAACCUUAUAAAAUUCAAACGAAAAAAUAGGAUUCACAAUUGAAUACAAACUAUGCAGUGCCGCUGCUCAAACCGUUUUAUAAACGGCAAGGUGGCUUAUAGUUCAAACAAUUAUGUCGUCUUGAACUUCUUGUGACUCCUUCUAACGACGUCAUUACGUACGCUGAGCCAAAUUUUCCCCGAUUUCCUUAAGAUCCUUCACUAUAACAAACCAAAUUCCAUAAAUUGUGAUGUCCCAGAAUGUCCAGACAUUCAAUUUAUAGUAUCAAGAAAUACAGGUUCGCCAAAUUUAUUGAUUUUUUUUUUAAACUCUCUGCAAGUGAGGGAUAUGAUUGUGUCACGGUAGUAUUUCCUGGCAUAUAAGGGAUAAUGAUAGCCUUUUCACAAUCUGCACCUCUUUCUAACACUGCCAAAAAUCUACACACAAAGUUGUUUAAAGUACUUUGUAAUAAUAUUCAUUAUAAUUU